AAACUCAAAGGAAUUGACGGGGGCCCGCACAAGCGGCGGAGCAUGCGGAUUAAUUCGAUGCAACGCGAAGAACCUUACCUGGGUUUGACAUGCACCAGACGACAGCAGAGAUGUUGUUUCCUUCGGGCUGGUGUGCAGGUGGUGCAUGGCUGUCGUCAGCUCGUGUCGUGAGAUGUUGGGUUAAGUCCCGCAACGAGCGCAACCCUCGUCCUAUGUUGCCAGCACGUUAUGGUGGGAACUCAUGGGAGACUGCCGGGGUCAACUCGGAGGAAGGUGGGGAUGACGUCAAGUCAUCAUGCCCCUUAUGUCCAGGGCUUCACGCAUGCUACAAUGGCUGGUACAAAGUGUUGCGAUCCUGUGAGGGUGAGCGAAUCACGUAAAGCCAGUCUCAGUUCGGAUUGGGUCUGCAACUCGACCCCAUGAAGUCGGAGUCGCUAGUAAUCGCAGAUCAGCAUUGCUGCGGU
rnacentral:rRNA from 1 species